GUACUCCUACGGGGAGGCAGCAGUGGGGGAAUAUUGCACAAUGGGCGCAAGCCUGAUGCAGCCAUGCCGCGUGUGUGAAGAAGGCCUUCGGGUUGUAAAGCACUUUCAGUCGUGAGGAAGGUAGUGUAGUUAAUAGCUGCAUUAUUUGACGUUAGCGACAGAAGAAGCACCGGCUAACUCCGUGCCAGCAGCCGCGGUAAUACGGAGGGUGCGAGCGUUAAUCGGAAUUACUGGGCGUAAAGCGCAUGCAGGUGGUUUGUUAAGUCAGAUGUGAAAGCCCGGGGCUCAACCUCGGAAUAGCAUUUGAAACUGGCAGACUAGAGUACUGUAGAGGGGGGUAGGAAUUUCAGGUGUAGCGGUGAAAUGCGUAGAGAUCUGAAGGAAUACCGGUGGCGAAGGCGGCCCCCUGGACAGAUACUGACACUCAGAUGCGAAAGCGUGGGGAGCAAACAGGAUUAGAUACCCUGGUAG
rnacentral:rRNA from 1 species